GCUUCUUUAGCUCAGUUGGUACGAGCGUUCGACUGAAGAUUUCAGUUCUUCGCAGCUAGGAUCCCGUCCUAUCCGCUAUUCGAAAGGUCACCUGUUCGACCCAGGUAAGGAGCA
rnacentral:tRNA from 1 species